rnacentral:rRNA from 1 species
CCUACGGGUGGCAGCAGUGAGGAAUAUUGGUCAAUGGACGAGAGUCUGAACCAGCCAAGUAGCGUGAAGGAUGACUGCCCUAUGGGUUGUAAACUUCUUUUAUAUGGGAAUAAAACGUUCCACGUGUGGGAUUUUGUAUGUACCAUAUGAAUAAGGAUCGGCUAACUCCGUGCCAGCAGCCGCGGUAAUACGGAGGAUCCGAGCGUUAUCCGGAUUUAUUGGGUUUAAAGGGAGCGUAGGUGGAUUGUUAAGUCAGUUGUGAAAGUUUGCGGCUCAACCGUAAAAUUGCAGUUGAAACUGGCAGUCUUGAGUACAGUAGAGGUGGGCGGAAUUCGUGGUGUAGCGGUGAAAUGCUUAGAUAUCACGAAGAACGCCGAUUGCGAAGGCAGUUCACUGGACUGCAACUGACACUGAGGCUCGAAAGUGUGGGUAUCAAACAGGAUUAGAUACCCCAGUAGUC